UUCUUCUUCCUCUUCUUCCUCUCUUUCCUUGUUGAGGCAAAGGAACCGAAGUUUGCAGGGACUCUGUACGUAAUUGUGAACGGCAUAGCAAUUAUAAUCCUCCAUUUUGCGAAACCGAUCAUGCAGCAGAAAAUUGUCCGAGGUCUUGCGAUCUUUGCGAUCGUCUGUGUAGGUAUAUUUCUGUGGUGGGAAAUCAGGCCUGCUCUCAUGCAAAGGUGAUUUAUCAAGUGGAAAUUUUCCCCAGGACUACGAAUCAAAGCCAUUAGACAGUGAAGAAUAGCGCGGAAGAACUGCAACUAGGCUGUCGUGGUUUAUCAAUGUACAGCGUUUAGAACUAUAGCCAGCUUAAGAAUCAUCGACAAGGCAAGAAAACAGAAGCCAGUUUUUUGAACUAUGACGAACUAUCAUGAGUGGUUCGUUGAUUAUUUGGUUAGUUAGCUGGCUUCAGUCCUAAAUAAUGGAAGAAGCUAAAAUAUAAAUGAAUAAAGAGGUUAAGUUUCUAAAGAAACUGUGGUGCUGCGUCGGUGAGGGAGUAUAAGAAAAUAAUUUGUUAUUAUCCACUUAGUUGCUAGUUCAAAUUGGCCACCGUAAGGAGUUUCAAGGGCUGACAUUUUGAGCGUCAGCCCUUCGCCAGAGCAAAUGACUGUCGAAACGUCAGCUUUUAAAACAAUAUGUGGAGGGCAACUGACAUUAUCAACUCAGUUGAUAAAACCAACCCGCAAAACCGAACCAAACCAAAACCAACAAAAACCAAACCUUCGUGCUGAAGUAUUAAGUUUAGUGAGAUUAUAUUUUGCGCAGAUAAUGAAAAAGUGCAGUUAUAUCUUUUAUGUUUCUU